CCUCUAACUCUUGACUUGACUGCAUUGGUAUUGUGUGUUGUCAAGAUUUUAAUGGGAGGUAAACUAAACUUUGGUCUGCUAUGUCUUCGGUGCCAUAAGUAUUACUACUGUGGUUCUAUCCUCAAUCGGACCUACAAAG